UACGGGGGGGGCAAACGUUGUUCGGAAUUACUGGGCGUAAAGGGCUCGUAGGCGGCCAACUAAGUCAGACGUGAAAUCCCUCGGCUUAACCGGGGAACUGCGUCUGAUACUGGAUGGCUUGAAUCCGGGAGAGGGAUGCGGAAUUCCAGGUGUAGCGGUGAAAUGCGUAGAUAUCUGGAGGAACACCGGUGGCGAAGGCGGCAUCCUGGACCGGCAUUGACGCUGAGGAGCGAAAGCCAGGGGAGCAAACGGG
rnacentral:rRNA from 1 species